rnacentral:rRNA from 1 species
GAUGAACGCUAGCGGCAGGCUUAAUACACGCAAGUCGAGGGGCAGCAUGAUUGUAGCAAUACAAUUGAUGGCGACCGGCAAACGGGUGCGGAACACGUACACAACCUCCCAAUAAGUGGGGAAUAGCCCAGAGAAAUUUGGAUUAAUACCCCGUAACAUAACGAUGUGGCAUCACAUUGUUAUUAUAGAUUUUUCGCUUAUUGAUGGGUGUGCGGCUGAUUAGAUAGUUGGCGGGGUAACGGCCCACCAAGUCUACGAUCAGUAGCUGAUGUGAGAGCAUGAUCAGCCACACGGGCACUGAGACACGGGCCCGACUCCUACGGGAGGCAGCAGUAAGGAAUAUUGGACAAUGGACGCAAGUCUGAUCCAGCCAUGCCGCGUGAAGGAUUAAGGUCCUCUGGAUUGUAAACUUCUUUUAUAAGGGACGAAAAAAGGCUUUUCUAAGUCGUCUGACGGUACCUUAUGAAUAAGCACCGGCUAACUCCGUGCCAGCCGCCGCCGUAACAC